rnacentral:rRNA from 1 species
UAAGACGAACCGAGCGAACGUUGUUCGGAAUCACUGGGCUUAAAGGGCGCGUAGGCGGGCAUUCAAGUCCGUGGUGAAAUCCGGCAGCUCAACUGUCGAAUUGCCGCGGAUACUGGGUGUCUCGAGGGAGGUAGGGGCGUGCGGAACUAAUGGUGGAGCGGUGAAAUGCGUUGAUAUCAUUAGGAACUCCGGUGGCGAAGGCGGCACGCUGGACCUCUUCUGACGCUGAGGCGCGAAAGCCAGGGGAGCAAACGGGAUUAGAUACCCCGGUAGUCCUGGCCCUAAACGUUGGGUACUAGAUAGUAGCCUUCACAUGGGGUUACUGUCGAAGCAAAAGUGCUAAGUACCCCGCCUGGGGAGUAUGGUCGCAAGGCUG